UACAGAGGGGGCAAGCGUUAUUCGGAAUUAUUGGGCGUAAAGGGCGCGUAGGCGGCAUGGCAAGUGGAAGGUGAAAUCCCUCGGCUUAACCGAGGAACUGCCCUCCAAACUGCUUUGCUUGAGGCCGGGAGAGGUGAGUGGAAUUCCCAGUGUAGCGGUGAAAUGCGUAGAUAUUGGGAGGAACACCAGUGGCGAAGGCGACUUCCUGGCCUGUUCUUGACGCUGAGGCGCGAAAGCUAGGGGAGCAAACGGG
rnacentral:rRNA from 1 species